rnacentral:lncRNA from 1 species
GAGAUGUCACAGCAACCCGCUGCAUUCCCUGGCUUCCCACUGGGCUGCGCACUGCUGGUGGGGAGCUCCUGUCUGCGUGCACCUGUGGCUGCGUGAUGGGGAACGGCUUUGGCUUCAGGAGCAACCCCAGCACAGGCUGGACUCGGGCCAGAUGGGAGCCGGGAACAGCUUUUGUGACAAUGAUGGAUGCGGUGUAGCUGCCGAUGGAUGGAGAGCAGACAUCCCCUUGUAUCCUUCCAGACCACUCCAGCAUUCAGUCCUGUGCUAC